GACAGCUGGGGCAGUGGUGGUGACUGAAAUAACUUUACAAAAGGAAAACAAUUUUGUGCCAUCCUCUCCGGUAGAGAUGGCCAAUGUGCUUUGUAACAGAGCCAGACUGGCUUCCUAUCUCCCAGGAUUUUGCUCUUUAGUCAAAAGGGUUGUUAAUCCCAAAGGCUUUUCAACUGCAGAAUCGUCAGGUUCUGAUGAGUCUCAUGUGGCCACUGCACCUCCAGAUAUAUGCUCUAGAACAGUGUGGCCUGACGAAACUAUGGAACCAUUUGGUCCUCAGGAUCAGAGAUUCCAGCUUCCUGGGAACAUAGGUUUUGAUUGUCACCUCAGUGGGACCACUUCACAGAAGAACAGCCUAGCUCAUAACACUUUGCCUGAUGUUCUAGCAGAACCUUUAUCAAAUGCAAGACAUGAGUUUGUGAUGGCACAGUAUGUGAAUAAAUUUCAGGGUAAUGAUGCAUCUGUUGAACAAGAAAUUAACAGUGCAGAAACUUACUUUGAAAGUGCCAGAGUAGAGUGUGCAAUCCAAACAUGUCCAGAAUUGCUGCGAAGAGCUUUUCAAUCACUGUUUUCAGAAAUGGCUAAUAGCAAACUAAUGAUUCUGACUGUAACACAAAAACUAAGAAUGAUAUGACUGUUUGGCGUGAAGAUGUAGAAACUGAAAAAGAAAUGCUCUUAGAAAAGUUCAUCAUUGGCGCUAAAGAAAUUUGCUAUGCUCUUCAAGCUAAAGGAUACUGGACUGACGUUAUUGAUCCAUCAUCUGGUUUUGUAUUUUUUGGACCACAUACAAACAACACUCUUUUUGAAACAGAUGAGCGCUACCGACAUUUAGGAUUCUCUGUCGAUGAUCUUGGAUGUUGCAAGGGAUUAAUCAUAGUCUCUGGGGUACCCAUGUGGUUAUAGGAAGUAUCUUUACUAAUGCAACACCAGACAGUCAUAUUAUGAAGAAAUCAAGCGGAAACUAG